rnacentral:misc_RNA from 1 species
GUGAAUCAUCAAAUUUUUGAACGCAAAUUGCACUCUCUUCGGAGAGUAUGCCUGUUUGAGGGUCAGCCUAAAAAAAAUCGACAUCUUGGCUGUUUCGCGGGGGCUUUCGUCGGAAAUGGGUUAACCUUAAAUCUUUGUUUUAAGCGAUUUAAAAUUUUCUUUACGAUUCCUUGAACGUUUCCAAGUUUUAUUUCUUUACACUUUUAAGUUUUCAAUUUUAUUAGGCGUGGUCGUCAUAUCGGAUCAUGUCCAUAAUUUUUCGUUAACUGACCUCAGACAGGUAAGAGUACCCGCUGAACUU